AAGGGCGUACGGUGGAUGCCUUGGCAUGCUGAGCCGAUGAAGGACGUGUGAGGCUGCGUUAAGCCUCGGGGAGUUGCCAACUAAGCGUUGAUCCGAGGAUGUCCGAAUGGGGAAACCUGGCACCAGUUAUGUGGUGUUACCUGCAGGUGAAUCUAUAGCCUGUAUGGGGGUGAACGCGGGGAAGUGAAACAUCUCAGUACCCGCAGGAGAAGAAAACAAUUGUGAUUCCGUUAGUAGUGGCGAGCGAACGCGGAUGAGGCUAAACCAUGUGUGUGUGAUACCUGGCAGGGGUUGCGCAUGUGGGGUUGUGGGGCGCAUCGUAAGUUAUCUGCUAGUGACUUGCUUGAUGUGGUUGUGUCAGCGGAAGCGCCUGGGAUGGUGCACCGGAGAAGGUGAUGAGUCCUGUACGCGAAGACAUAGCUGUGUUGGGUGUAUGUGUUUUUCCCCGAGUAGCAGCGGGCCCGUGAAAUCUGCUGUGAAUCUGCCGGGACCACCCGGUAAGCCUAAAUACUCAGUGUGACCGAUAGUGGAUAGUACCGUGAGGGAAUGGUGAAAAGUACCCCGGGAGGGGAGUGAAAGAGUUCCUGAAACCGUGCGCUUACAAUCCGUCAGAGCAC
rnacentral:rRNA from 1 species